UACGUAGGGUGCACGCGUUGUCCGGAAUUAUUGGGCGUAAAGGGCUCGUAGGCGGUUUUUCGCGUCUGCUGUGAAAAUCCAGGGCUUAACCCUGGACCUGCAGUGGGUACGGGCAGACUGGAGUGCGGUAGGGGAGAUCGGUAUUCCUGGUGUAGCGGUGAAAUGCGCAGAUAUCAGGAGGAACACCGGUGGCGAAGGCGGAUCUCUGGGCCGUAACUGACGCUGAGGAGCGAAAGCAUGGGGAGCGAACAGG
rnacentral:rRNA from 1 species